AUAACAAAGAACCACAAACUGGAUGACUUAAAAAACAGAAAUGUAUGGUCUCACGGUCCUGGAGGCCAGAUGUCUGAGAUCAAGGUUUUGGCGGGUCACUCUC